rnacentral:lncRNA from 1 species
GCUUUUGUAUCAAAAUAAUUACAUAAAGUAAUGAGGUUAUUCUUUAUAUGAAGUAACAAAAAUAUGGGUUAUGCCCACCCUAAACCUACUCUUACACCAAGCAUAAGAGGCAACUAGAAAAUUGCAGUGAAAUUAUGCAAGUUGUAAUAUGUGUUGUUAUUGCUUCUAAGUGGAAGAUAAGAAAAGAAGAACAUACAUCUAGAUCUAACAAAAAUGAAUCCUAGUUGACAUGCAAUGAGACACAAGUUUAAAUCAGCAGGGAGGGUUGUUUAUAUAGAAUUGAGCAACAAGUGAGUAUGAAGAAGAAGAAAGUUGAUUAUAAUGGUUAACUUUAUCAGAAAUUACACACUAAGUAUUACAUAUUGGCUUCAAGCCACAAAUCCUUAAAGACAAAUUUGGAGUGUAUUAUGCCUUUACACAAGGGUACCACCCUUGAGAAACUCUGUAAAAGCCAGAGCAACUAAACCCAACAUAGCAAAUCUUCCAUUCCAUAGUUCAGCAUCUGAAGACAUGAUCUUUUUGGACUUGGAUUCCACACUAACCCCUUGGAAUAGUGGAAUCAAUGAAGCAAGGGUGAGUAGGACACUAGUCCCUAAGAACCAUGGGAUGCCUCCAUUGGAUAUCUGAGUGAACACAUCUUCACCAUUGCUUAGUUCCACUGCUAUUGCUGCUACAAAUCCUAUCAUAGCCAACCUUCCAUUGAUCCUCUCAGGUGCUGGUCCACUGAAUGCCAACAAAUCCCCAAACUUGGUGCUCACCUGCCAUGGAAAUAUAUUAUUCCCAAACUCUUAACAAAUAGAGGUAUUUGGAAGUAUGGGUGGUAGUGUGGUACAUCAAAUAUUAUACUAGAAAUAACACAAGACUCACCUUUGGUGCACGAGUAGGAGGUGGUGGUUGUGGUGAGGGUGAGGGUUUUGGUGGUGCAACUGGGGUUGUAGACUCAAUAGGCCGUUCUUUCUGCUCUUCCUGCAAGUAUAAUAUAUAUGAAUGAAUAUAUAUAUGAAUGAAUAUAUAUAGGUGUACUUAAUAUAUGGCAUGAAAAUUAAUAAAUUAC